UACAGAGGUCUCAAGCGUUGUUCGGAUUCAUUGGGCGUAAAGGGUGCGUAGGCGGCGCCGUAAGUCAGGUGUGAAAUUUCGGAGCUUAACUCCGAAACUGCAUUUGAUACUGCGGUGCUUGAGGACUGGAGAGGAGACUGGAAUUUACGGUGUAGCAGUGAAAUGCGUAGGGAUCGUAAGGAAGACCAGUGGCGAAGGCGGGUCUCGUGGACAGUUCCUGACGCUGAGGCACGAAGGCCAGGGGAGCAAACGGG
rnacentral:rRNA from 1 species